AGGGAGGUAGUUCAGUGUGUUAGAGCACAGGACUUGUAUUCCUAAAGCACCAGAGUUUUCAGUCUCUGGAACAUUUUGCUCUGGGCCAAACUUUGUUUCCCUG
rnacentral:tRNA from 1 species